rnacentral:rRNA from 1 species
UACAGAGGUGGCACGCGUUGUUCGGAAUUACUGGGCGUAAAGGGCGCGUAGGCGGCCUUGUAAGUCCCGUGUGAAAUCCCUCGGCUCAACUGAGGAACUGCACGGGAAACUGCUUGGCUUGAGUUCGGGAGAGGGAUGCGGAAUUCCGGUGUAGCGGUGAAAUGCGUAGAUAUCGUGGAGACACGGUGGCGAAGGCGGCAUCCUGGAC